ACGAACGCUGGCGGCGUGCCUAAUACAUGCCAGUAGAACGCUGAAGAGAGGAGCUUACUCUUCUUGGAUGAGUUGCGAACGGGUGAGUAACGCGUAGGUAACCUGCCUUGUAGCGGGGGAUAACUAUUGGAAACGAUAGCUAAUACCGCGUAACAAUGGAUGACACAUGUCAUUUAUUUGAAAGGGGCAAUUGCUCCACUACAAGAUGGACCUGCGUUGUAUUAGCUAGUAGGUGAGGUAAUGGCUCACCUAGGCGACGAUACAUAGCCGACCUGAGAGGGUGAUCGGCCACACUGGGACUGAGACACGGCCCAGACUCCUACGGGAGGCAGCAGUAGGGAAUCUUCGGCAAUGGGGGCAACCCUGACCGAGCAACGCCGCGUGAGUGAAGAAGGUUUUCGGAUCGUAAAGCUCUGUUGUAAGUCAAGAACGGGUGUGAGAGUGGAAAGUUCACACUGUGACGGUAGCUUACCAGAAAGGGACGGCUAACUACGUG
rnacentral:rRNA from 1 species